UCUCGUAGGUGACCUGCGGAGGGUCAUUACACAAAUAUGAAGGCGGGCUGGAACCUCUCGGGGUUACAGCCUUGCUGAAUUAUUCACCCUUGUCUUUUGCGUACUUCUUGUUUCCUUGGUGGGUUCGCCCACCACUAGGACAAACAUAAACCUUUUGUAAUUGCAAUCAGCGUCAGUAACAAAUUAAUAAUUACAACUUUCAACAACGGAUCUCUUGGUUCUGGCAUCGAUGAAGAACGCAGCGAAAUGCGAUAAGUAGUGUGAAUUGCAGAAUUCAGUGAAUCAUCGAAUCUUUGAACGCACAUUGCGCCCUUUGGUAUUCCAAAGGGCAUGCCUGUUCGAGCGUCAUUUGUACCCUCAAGCUUUGCUUGGUGUUGGGCGUCUUGUCUCUAGCUUUGCUGGAGACUCGCCUUAAAGUAAUUGGCAGCCGGCCUACUGGUUUCGGAGCGCAGCACAAGUCGCACUCUCUAUCAGCAAAGGUCUAGCAUCCAUUAAGCCUUUUUUUCAACUUUUGACCUCGGAUCAGGUAGGGAUACCCGCUGAACUUAAGCAUAUCAAUAAGCGGAGGAA
rnacentral:rRNA from 1 species